rnacentral:rRNA from 1 species
GUAUCCUACGGGGGGCAGCAGUAGGGAAUCUUCCACAAUGGACGAAAGUCUGAUGGAGCAACGCCGCGUGAGUGAAGAAGGGUUUCGGCUCGUAAAGCUCUGUUGGUAGGGAAGAAAGAUAGAGGUAGUAACUGGCCUUUAUUUGACGGUAAUUACUUAGAAAGUCACGGCUAACUACGUGCCAGCAGCCGCGGUAAUACGUAUGUGGCAAGCGUUGUCCGGGUUUAUUGGGCGUAAAGCGAGUGCCGGCGGGU